CUUGAGUAGAGGAUGGGAUGAUGGAAUACCCGGUGUAGGGGUGAAAUCUGUUGAUAUCGGGUAGAACACCGAUGGCGAAAGCGAUCAUCUAGCCUCAUACUGACACUCAACGGCGAAAGCCAGGGGAGCGAACGGGAUUAGAUACCCCGGUAGUCCUGGCCAUAAACGAUGCAUGCUAGGUAUUGGCACCGCGUUGGUGCUGGUACCGCAGCUAACGCGUUAAGCAUGCCGCCUGGGGAGUAUGCUCGCAAGAGUGAAACUCAAAGGAA
rnacentral:rRNA from 1 species